ACAAAUCAAACAUCAGCUUCCGACAACGAAGCCCCCAAGUUCACAAUUGAAGAAUACAGUCAACUUAAGUCUCUUCUUCACAAUGGUACAAUAUCUCCUUUUUGCGCCAGCGCCAAUAAGUCAUCACCAUCCACAACAUCUUGGAUACUUGACAGCGGAGUCACCGAUUAUGUCGCUCCUCCUUCUAUGUUAAACACAUUGAAAAUUGCACCUUUGUUUUCCCCAUAUUCGGUUUACAUACAGGUAGUUCCUGAUGGUAUGGUAAUCGAGUUAAUAAUGAGCAAAUUCCAGACCCUUUGGACCAAUAUGUUAGAACCUUUAUGCUACUAA
rnacentral:lncRNA from 1 species